rnacentral:rRNA from 1 species
CGUUCCCGGGCCUUGUACACACCGCCCGUCACACCAUGGAAGCCGGUAACACCCGAAGCCGGUGGCCUAACCCGCAAGGGAGGGAGCCGUCGAGGGUGGGAUUGGUGACUGGGGUG